rnacentral:rRNA from 1 species
CACUUAGAUGUUCUGGGCCGCACGCGCGCUACACUGAUGCAUUCAACGAGCCUAUCCUUGACCGACAGGUCCGGGUAAUCUUUGAAUCUGCAUCGUGACGGGGAUAGAUUAUUGCAAUUAUUAAUCUUCAACGAGGAAUGCCUAGUAGGCGCAAGUCAUCAGCUUGCGUCGAUUACGUCCCUGCCCUUUGUACACACCGCCCGUCGCUCCUACCGAUUGGGUGUGCUGGUGAAAUGUUCGGAUCGGCCGUUUGUCGCGGUUUCCGCGUCAUGUGGCUGAGAAGUUCAUUAAACCCUCCCACCUAGAGGAAGGAGAAGUCGUAACA